AAAAAAACAAGAGGAUUGGCUAGAGAGAUAGGGGAAGGAAAAACCUUGAAACUUUGAUCUCCAUCUUCUUCAAGCUUAGAUCUCAAAGCUAUUAGAGUAUUCUAGGUGAGUUUAACCUCUAUAUUUCACUCUUUUUGAGUUGAGUUUAUCAUUGGAGCCCUAAGAUUAAUGUUUGAAUAUAUUAGGGAUUUUGACAAGGAGUAUUUGGGCAAGCUUAAUAGCUAAAAUUUGGAUGUUUUUUAAAGUAGUAAGGACAUGUGAAUAGCAUGAGCAUAAGUGGUGGGGUCUCGAAGGUGACUUUUGAAACUAUGAGACUUAGUCCUAGUGUUGGAGCUUACCAUGGACUUUUGUUUAUUUAGAUAUUCCCUUUGACCUUUGUAUUUUUGUAAAACCAUUGUGCUUGGUUUUGGUGCUUGUGAUGCAUUUUGGACAUAUUACUCUUUGAUUGUAAAUAUUUAAUAGUGAAUUUGAUGAGUUUUUGGGAAGAA